rnacentral:rRNA from 7 species
UAACGUAGGGAAACUUACGCUAAUACCGCAUACGACCUACGGGUGAAAGCAGGGGACCUUCGGGCCUUGCGCGAUUGAAUGAGCCGAUGUCGGAUUAGCUAGUUGGCGGGGUAAAGGCCCACCAAGGCGACGAUCCGUAGCUGGUCUGAGAGGAUGAUCAGCCACACUGGAACUGAGACACGGUCCAGACUCCUACGGGAGGCAGCAGUGGGGAAUAUUGGACAAUGGGCGCAAGCCUGAUCCAGCCAUACCGCGUGGGUGAAGAAGGCCUUCGGGUUGUAAAGCCCUUUUGUUGGGAAAGAAAUCCAGCCGGCUAAUACCUGGUUGGGAUGACGGUACCCAAAGAAUAAGCACCGGCUAACUUCGUGCCAGCAGCCGCGGUAAUACGAAGGGUGCAAGCGUUACUCGGAAUUACUGGGCGUAAAGCGUGCGUAGGUGGUUGUUUAAGUCUGUUGUGAAAGCCCUGGGCUCAACCUGGGAACUGCAGUGGAAACUGGACAACUAGAGUGUGGUAGAGGGUAGCGGAAUUCCCGGUGUAGCAGUGAAAUGCGUAGAGAUCGGGAGGAAC